rnacentral:rRNA from 1 species
CGGACGGGUGAGUAAUGCCUAGGAAAUUGCCCUGAUGUGGGGGAUAACCAUUGGAAACGAUGGCUAAUACCGCAUGAUGCCUACGGGCCAAAGAGGGGGACCUUCGGGCCUCUCGCGUCAGGAUAUGCCUAGGUGGGAUUAGCUAGUUGGUGAGGUAAGGGCUCACCAAGGCGACGAUCCCUAGCUGGUCUGAGAGGAUGAUCAGCCACACUGGAACUGAGACACGGUCCAGACUCCUACGGGAGGCAGCAGUGGGGAAUAUUGCACAAUGGGCGCAAGCCUGAUGCAGCCAUGCCGCGUGUGUGAAGAAGGCCUUCGGGUUGUAAAGCACUUUCAGUCGUGAGGAAGGUGGGGUCGUUAAUAGCUGCUUCAUUUGACGUUAGCGACAGAAGAAGCACCGGCUAACUCCGUGCCAGCAGCCGCGGUAAUACGGAGGGUGCGAGCGUUAAUCGGAAUUACUGGGCGUAAAGCGCAUGCAGGUGGUUUGUUAAGUCAGAUGUGAAAGCCCGGGGCUCAACCUCGGAAUAGCAUUUGAAACUGGCAGACUAGAGUACUGUAGA